rnacentral:lncRNA from 1 species
UCAGGCUCUUGGUUGUACUCCCUCCGUUCCUAAAUAUUUGUCUUUUUAGAUACUAGGUGAGUGCUCGUGCGUUGCACCGGGAAACCUCAUUUAUGCAUAGAUAUUGAGGUGAUACUAUCAAGAAUCAACUCAACCAAAACUGCAUGCAAAUAGUUCUCUUUUUGUUACAGGAUCAUACAAACCCAAUGCAUGUAUUUGUUUAAAUAAAGAUAUAUAGAUGGUAUAUAGUUUACUCUUACAAUCAAAAGACAUUUGAACUAUCCAUAAAUGUUCCUUCAUAUCUAAUUUCUAACAGUCAAAAAGUCUAAUGCUUUCAAAAAUAUAUGUACUAAUUAAUCAAGAAAAAAUCAUUCUUGAACCCCUACAUGUUUGAGUCAAAAAAUGAAACCAGUAUAAUUAUCGAAUUCAGUGGCCAUGGAAUAUAAUUUAUUUCACCGCGUAUCUGCAUGAGAAGAAUAGUACAGUAGUGAUUACUGGUAAAGCAUGAAAUUGUACAAAAUAGCUUAGCCAGAGAAAAACAAUGAUCAUAAAUUUAUGCAAGAUAAUAAUGGAUGAGAACACAAAAGGGAAAAGGCUCAAGCUUCUAUGUACCAAAUGAGACAGAAAAUAAUAUUCUUAUCCCAAAGUUAAAUUAAUAACCGCGACAUUUAUCAAGAGAUAAAAAAGUUAAAAUAGAAAAAAACAUCAGUACAUAUACUUUGAAAUGAGAUGUUCAACAUUACAUUCGCAGCUGUCAGAUUUUGCAGCAUAAAAUAUACUGGACAAUCAAAUCUUGCUGGCGGCUGGUAUCUAGUUUCGGGAGUGCUCUGUACCAUCAUAAACUUCUUUAACAGAAGGGUCUUCUCCAAACUGUAUUGAAAAAAGCCACCCCUUUAUUUGUACAAGAACAAUUUAUCCCGCGGCUGUUUAUAGUUAUGGCUAAGUAUUACGAAAAGGGUGUGCAGUAUAACAAUGAGGCAUUUAACAAAGUUGUUUCACGCGGCUCAAUGAUGUGAUGUUACCUAUAGGGCCUCAGUCAUUUUCUCCCCGAAACAUGGUUGUGCCGCCACGGCUUACAUGUCAGUCACUCGCUUGAACACCUCUUGUGCCAUCCACCAGCAUAUGGUGCAGACACCAAUGAUUUGCACAGCGAGUUAGAGCAACAUUGAAAUUCCUACGUAAAGAUAUGUAAGCAAGAAAAUUGAUUGACUAUACUCCUGGACAGACAUAAGUGAGGAAAACAAGAGUGUAAAAGAUAAAUGAUACUCACGAUUAAAGCUUUCAAGAAUUUUUCAGGAAUUUCAAAAAAGCACUGUCAUACAGUAACUCCACACACG